UCCACUUCCAAAUGCAUUGUACCUUUCUAACUAAAAUAACUUCUUGCUCAAACGACUCUAGCUUCUUCUAAAUCUGUCAGAGUAUUUUCUUUUUCUUUUCCUUCUUGUUACAUAUUCCUUUUUCUUCCAGUAAUGGUGGCCAUUCGUGAAUGUGAUGAAUUUGAUAGAGUAACAGCUCCCACAACCGCUUCAGAGAGGCAUUUAUUACUUGAACAUUACACUAAAACCUUUAGGUCAAAAUGGGUACCACCGAUUGAGGUUUUAUAGGUUCAAUCGAGAUCACCAUGGAGCUUUUCAGCGCCACCUGCAAUCUUGUGGAUCUAAAAUACGAUUUGAUGUGCUCGGGUAAGAGUUAUGUCAAUGCGUUUAGGGAUGAUCUCUUCAUUUCUAGUAUUGGUGAGGAGUGUGACGUUAUUCUCGAACCUUGUAUUCCCAGAUAAAAAAAUCUAUUGUAUCGUCCUCCUAGAUCCCUUGACGAGUUUUUCUAUUUUUAUGAAAACUUUUUGGAGACCCUUCGACAGGGGUUCCAUUCACCUAUUUUGAGGCGGAUCUACCGACCGUCCUAAACAUUUCCCCUUCACAGCUUCAACCUAAUAGUUGUGGAUUUGUGUGGGCCUUUGAAAUAGUGUGCGAGGCCUUGGGCAUAAACCCUACAGUGGGUAUUUUUUCUCUCUUUUCACGAAUCUAUAGGGGUUGAAAAUGGGAAUUGGGUUUCACUUUCCCGACUGCCUGGAUGUGGUCUAUUUUAAGUCCAUUCCUCAAACUUCAAGAAUUUUAAAAGCAAAUUGUUGAGAUUAGGGGUGGUGUUGGGUGUCCCCAAGUUAUUGUCAAAGAGGAGGGUUCCUAUUGAUUUCUUCUCUGUUGGAAUCAAUAUCUCGCCUUAAUUAGAGGUUUUGAUCCUAACAAACUGAGUGAGAAGGAGAAGAAUGCGGUGGAGCUUUUUGUUGAUUUGGGAGUUAUGUUAGUUAGCGAUGUGUUGAGUUGAAAAGGUGAUAAAGUUAAUCUUUGGAGUUAUUUAGGUAAAAGUACUUUCUCUUCCUUGGUUUCUGUUGAUCUAACAAUCCCUUUCCCAUUAACUAAGACUUUUUAUUCUUACGCGGAAAGGAUGGCGAUCAUGAACCUCAAAGAUAGGAUGGCUUUGUUAGCGAAGGCAAAAACUCUUCGAGGAGAAAAUCAGAACAUGGAGAAGAGUAAUCCCUUUGGCGUCCUGGUUCGUGUUCUGAAGAAAAUAAAAACGGGCGUCAAUGAGGUGUUUGCCUCCUCGAGGACGACGGUUUCGGUCGAGGUACCUAUGGCUCUUUCCUAGAAAAAAAAACAUAGCAGACAAUGGAAAGACGUCCUCGUAAGAUGGCUCUCAGUUGAGUCAAGACGACAAAUUUGAAGACUUUUUUGGAAAUUAUACACCGGCCAUUGAAACUGGGGUUCCGACUCUCAUCCUCCGACCAUUAAGUUUUGGCACUCUUUAUUAGAUGGUUUGCGCUCCAUGUAUGACCAUUUAAAUGCUGAAGAGGGUGUUACAAAAGUUAAAACACCGGGGGCUUAAAAACUACUUUAGAAUAUCGAGACCUAUCUUAUGAAAACCAUCGUACUAAGCAUGGCUUUGUUCGAGGUUUCUAACUCCUUCGAGAAAAAUGAAGCUAAUUUGAAGAAUAAGUUGAAGAAUGUGCUAGAGGCUCAAGAACUGAGUAAUACUCAGGUUGUUAAGGCCAACGAACGCAUAGCUUCCCUUGAAAAAGAGUUUGAGGAACUUAAAGUUUCCAAAAAGGCCUCUGGUCCCGGCCUUGUUGCGGGUGAGAAAGAAGUUGAGGACCUGAAGACUAAAUUGCCUGAACGCGAGAAAUUCAUUGAGUGUUUGAUGAGAAGCUCGAGGCUUCAUUAAUGGACAGCUUGUUGGCGGGUGAACAAGGUUUUGACAUAGCCAAAGACCAGACUUUAUUCCUUUAUCCUUCUCUUGAUUUGUUCUAGUUAGGGUUUUUCAAGACGAUCCGAAAUGGUCAAUUGCUUUUGGAGGAAGAUCCUGAAUCUACCCUGAAUUUGGAUGACAAUAUCAAACAACCCCUCUUUCCUUCUAAUGAUACCUCACCCGAGCCUUAGCCCAAUGAAGACUCUACUCAAUCUUCUCUUGGAAAUAUUGUUUAAGUAGAUGUUUAAGUGUUAUUUCAUGUAAUUUUAAUUCGCCCUUUUGUUCUUAGUUUGAAGUGUUUCCCUUUUAUGGUUUAAAAUAUUUUGUAGUACUAUAAUGUGUUGUGGAGUAUUUAUUUCUUUUAUGUUAUUUUGUUUAAUUAAUUGUGACCAGAAUAUGACAUGGGUUUCGAGACCAAUAGGGAAGAGAAGGAUUUCCUCUUGUUCCCUGCGUGGCUUUGGAAUUUGUCUGGGAAUGACAUCUUGCCUCAGGUUGAGAUGACAUCCUGUCGACUGUCCUUGGACAAAAAACUUGCAUUCGUAGAGGUCUUUGGUUUUGUAGAUAUGUCGCCUCCGUAGAGGUCUUAGGUUUUUGUAGACAUCUCGUCCCCAUAGAGGUUGUGGGUUUUUGUAGACACCUCGCACCCGUAUGUGUCUUGGGCUUUUGUAGACACGUCGCCCCCAUAGAGGACUUGGUUUUUUAGAUAUGACGCCCCCGUAGAGGUCUUAGGUUUUUGUAGAUACGUCGCCUCCAUAGAGAACUUGGGUUUUUGUAGAUACGUCGUCCUCGUAGAGGUCUUGGGUUUUUGUAGACAUCUCACCCCAUAUAAGUCUUGGAUUUUUGUAGAUACGUCGCCCCGUAGAGGACUUGGGUUUUGUAGAUACGUCGCCCCCGUAGAGGACAUGGGUUUUUGUAGACACCUACAACAUUGUUUUAUUUAACCGGUCGGGAGUGCCUUGUUAAAAACCCUACCCUUGUAGGGAAAAAGAGUGCAGCUCAUGGCCGUCUUUAUUUAAUUCAUUAUAUGAAUGAAUCUUAUUACAACGAAAUUCAAAUAAAACUAAAGUAAUAAAACUAAAAGACAAUCUUUAGUUCAACUGUAGUAGUGUCUCAAGUUCUUCAAAUUCCAGAUGCGGGGUACUUCAGCUCCGUCAAGAUGCUCCAGCUUGUCUACGCUCCACUAAAUGAAAGGCCGGGGCGACAUGAUGGUCUUAAAGCUAGUCGGGGUGUGGAUAAAAGGUGGAUACCUUUGGCAUUUAUCACACUGCUCCACGUACCGUGCACCUAUCCCGGAGAAUUUUGUCAGAAUUCAAAGUUUAUAAUGUAACAAGAGAUGUGUCUUUAGAUUACCUUAUGUAUAAGCACACAAUCAUCCAAAUCUCAUGACAUUAGAUUACCAAAAAUUUGUUUUUACUAAAUAAAAGAUACAAUGUAGGAUAGCCAAAAAUUAGGCAUAGAAUAUGUAGUUCAAACUAAAAU